GACGAACGCUGGCGGCGUGCUUAACACAUGCAAGUCGAACGGAAAGGCCCUGCUUUUGUGGGGUGCUCGAGUGGCGAACGGGUGAGUAACACGUGAGUAACCUGCCCUUGACUUUGGGAUAACUUCAGGAAACUGGGGCUAAUACCGGAUAGGAGCUCCUGCUGCACGGUGGGGGUUGGAAAGUUUCGGCGGUUGGGGAUGGACUCGCGGCUUAUCAGCUUGUUGGUGGGGUAGUGGCUUACCAAGGCUUUGACGGGUAGCCGGCCUGAGAGGGUGACCGGCCACAUUGGGACUGAGGUACGGCCCAGACUGCUACGGGACGCAGCAGUGGGGAAUAUUGCACAAUGGGCGGAAGCCUGAUGCAGCAGCGCCGCGUGCGGGAUGACGGCCUUCGGGUUGUAAACCUCUUUCGCCUGUGACGAAGCGUGAGUGACGGUAAUGGGUAAAGAAGCCCCGGCUAACUACGUG
rnacentral:rRNA from 1 species